GUCCCUGUCGAUUAGUGGUUAAAUCAUCACGUUGUGGUCACGAGGUCUUAACUCGUCGCAAAUCCGUGAAGCCAGCGGCUCGAAUCCGCUCAGGGACA